ACAACUUGGAAUUUUUUUCAUUAGAAAUUGUGGUUAGCAAAGGCACUCCUUGCAAAAGAGAAAGUAUAGGGGCUAGUGUUACACAAUUUAUUUUUUCACAUGUCUUUUUUUUGCAAUUAAACUUUGUUUCUUUUCUUUUUCUUUUUCUUUUUCCUUUUCAUUCCUUUCUUUUUCUUUUCUUCCUUGAUCAUUUUUUUUCUCUCAUUUUCUUUUGAUCUUAUCUCACCUCACUAGGAUUUAAUGGUACAAGAUUUAUCUUUUUA
rnacentral:lncRNA from 1 species